rnacentral:lncRNA from 1 species
GUGUUGCAAAUGCAUCAAACUCCUGUUUGAAAGGUGUCAAUAUAUGACGUUGUGUGAAACUUUGACCUUUCAAACUCUUGAGGAACUUCAGAGUCCUCUUACGAUCUGAUGUCUCUUUUGGGUGGCCACGAGGUGGUUUUUCCCUGACUGAUUCCCAAUUGGAGAAUAGUAAGAAUUUGCGGAUCAAGAAAAGGUCAAUAAACAAGUGUGUUUUCUAAGAUCUUGAAUUAUUUUUUGCUUAAAUUUAAUAUUUUAUAAUGUUUCUGUAUUGUUCUGAUGUGUGGUGUGAUGGUAAAAAUAAUUUUUUUAAAAAAACUAUUAUUUUAAUAUAUUUUAAAAAAAAUCACUUUGAAAAGUAAACAUUAUCCUAUUCUUCACUUUGUCAAACCACUGAAAUGUCUACGAAGUAGGAGUCAAAUGAACAGGCAAUCAGCCAAAAUGAAAUUUGCGAAAACCAGUGAAGGUAAUUCCCAUAUAUUGCAGUUUAAAUAUGCUGAUGAUUAAGGAGUUACAGGCAGUCCAUGGGCGACGCAAGUUACCAUACCGUUCUCCUUCCAAAUUUCCCUUAGCUUCACCAUCUGCCACUAUUGGCACACUGCCAUUUUUCCCGCUCAGUGCACUCUUACUUCUGUAACCUUCACUUUCAGAAGCAAUGGACGGAUCACAAGGCAUCGUUAGCUUGGUUGGGGGGUUUGAUAACAUGGUUUGCCCUGUCUGCAAUACGCUUAAGCCCCGAAAAGCCAACGUGGGAUACUGGUGACUCAUUGCAGACCACUUUAACGACUGCCUCUUCUAUUGAAUUCAUUUGACUCUCAACACACUCUCAAAUUAGCUUCGAAACCCUCCAAAAAAGAACUAUAUGUGUAUAUAGUGAUGAAAUUUCUAUGUGGACAAAUUGAGAAGGCUAAGGAGCGAAGGGAAGCAAAGCAAUGCAAUGCAGAUUGAAAUGAGAAGCAAAAAUGAUGG